UACGGAGGGUGCAAGCGUUAUCCGGAUUCACUGGGUUUAAAGGGAGCGUAGGUGGGCUGGUAAGUCAGGGGUGAAAUCUCCGGGCUUAACUCGGAAACUGCCGUUGAUACUAUCAGUCUUGAAUAUUGUGGAGGUAAGCGGAAUAUGUCAUGUAGCGGUGAAAUGCUUAGAUAUGACAUAGAACACCGAUAGCGAAGGCAGCUUGCUACACAAUUAUUGACACUGAGGCUCGAAAGCGUGGGGAUCAAACAGG
rnacentral:rRNA from 1 species